GACGAACCGUGCGAACGUUGUUCGGAAUCACUGGGCUUAAAGGGCGCGUAGGCGGCUUACCAAGUCCGGGGUGAAAGCCCCCAGCUCAACUGGGGAAGUGCCUUGGAUACUGGUGAGCUCGAGGGGGAUAGGGGCGGACGGAACUUCCGGUGGAGCGGUGAAAUGCGUUGAUAUCGGAAGGAACGCCGGUGGCGAAAGCGGUCCGCUGGGUCCCUGCUGACGCUGAGGCGCGAAAGCCAGGGGAGCAAACGGG
rnacentral:rRNA from 1 species